GUCGAUAGGCCGCAGGUGCAAGUGUGGCGACGCACUCAGCCGAGCGGUACUAAUUGCCCGAA
rnacentral:rRNA from 1 species